GCUAGCCAUUUGCUCAAGAAACUGCUCUUCCUGGGCUUUGAGAUGAACUGGACAUACACGAACCAGAAAGAAAUGACUGCUGAAAUUACCUAAAGUUCCCUCUCUGGACACUCCAGUAUUUGAGAUGAAGCAAGACUCUGGUCAGGAGGGAUAUUUACUUUGAGUUGAUACCUAGAUGGAUCCUAUUGAUGACCCUGGGAAUGGCAGUGAACUAGAAACAUGAAGGGGACUCAGAGAGAGACGAGAAUAUAUAAUGAUGCCUCCAUGUAUGACGUUAUAAGAAAGCAAUCAUUCGUGCUGGGAAAAGACAUUCUGCUGCAGUAUUUGGUCGAAAGUACACCCUGCAGUAAUUCUUGUGUCAUCUAUGUGGUGUCUGGGAAGCCAGGAAAUGAAUGAGCAGACUCCAUCAACAGAAUGGCAGCCAAAGCAUCUGACUGUGCUGUUCAGUAAGGUUCCUGUUCAAGCAGUAAAGCCCUGAUUUCUCUCUGCAUCUCAAGAUAUUGACACUGAUGGAGACCUCUUCCCUGAAUUUAUGAGCUUUUAAAUUGGAAAGCAGCUUGGUCACAGCAUCCCUGAGUACUGGCUUCUCCUCUCUCCACCUUUCAAAUGGUGGAAGUUAUUUAUUCUCUGGAAGAAAGAGUGGGGCAGAGCUGGACUCACUGGACUUUCCCUGGGGCUGAAUGAGAUGACACACGAACUCAUCAUCCUGCUGAGGAUGAUCUCAGACUCUGGCACUAUGGAUUUCCUUCUUUGCCUUCUCCUGAGAAGCUUUUGAUGAAGACACAGAGCACAUACAUUACAUGG